UCUCUAAUCUCCACUUUCUCUACUGACUACUGUAUUAUCUUCCUUUUUUUUCAUUCUACAUCUAACACAUAAGAGAAUCAGAUCGAGAAGUUUGAGAAGAUUGGGAGAGACGAACUGAGUGAUUACCAGAGACUCUCAGAGAAGUAACUAAAAAGAAUCACCACUAGGGAAAGCAACCGAAUCUGCUCAUCCAGAUACGGAAAUCGUGGACUGAAGUGAAGUUGAUGCAAUGAUACAACAUGCCAGGCAGCCAAGCAAGAUCACACUAAGUUUCACUACUCACUAGCGUGUUGACAUUGUUAGCCUCUGUGACUGUAACUCUGUUAGACAUUGUUUUUUUUCUUUUUUGGCUUUGUUGUAGCCUGUAGUGUACUUUCUUUUGCAUUCACUAGACUGUGUUUGUGUGGGUUUGUACUUUUCACUGAACAUUUUGAACUUAAAAAGCCAAAGGCUGUUUUUUUCAA